CUUUUCUCAGGGAAGAAGAAUGACGGUACCCCCGGAAUAAGCCCCGGCUAACUACGUGCCAGCAGCCGCGGUAAUACGUAGGAGGCGAACGUUAUYCGGAUUUAUUGGGCGUAAAGAGAGCGUAGGCGGUUCUUUAAGWCAGAUGUGAAAUCUCCCGGCUCAACCAGGAGGGGCCAUUUGAUACUGUGGGRCUUGAGAGCAGCAGAGGGAAAUGGAAUUCCCGGUGUAGCGGUGAAAUGCGUAGAUAUAGGGGGGAACACCAGUGGCGAAGGCGGYUUUCUGGGYUGUUAAUGACGCUGAGGCGCGAAAGCGUGGGGUGYRAACAGGAUUAGAUACCCUGGUAGUCCACGCCCUAAACGAUGGACAYUAGAUGUGGGGGGUAUCGACCCUUUCUGUGCCGAAGUAACGCAUUAAGUGU
rnacentral:rRNA from 1 species